UACGUAGGGUGCAAGCGUUGUCCGGAAUUAUUGGGCGUAAAGAGCUCGUAGGCGGUUUGUCGCGUCUGCUGUGAAAACUCGGGGCUUAACCCCGGGCCUGCAGUGGGUACGGGCAGACUAGAGUGCGGUAGGGGAGACUGGAAUUCCUGGUGUAGCGGUGAGAUGCGCAGAUAUCAGGAGGAACACCGGUGGCGAAGGCGGGUCUCUGGGCCGAUACUGACGCUGAGGAGCGAAAGCGUGGGGAGCGAACAGG
rnacentral:rRNA from 1 species